ensembl:lncRNA
GUUCUUUUUCUGUUGGGCUGCUGACGGGUGCUGAGGCCAGCCCGGGAGUGGCGGUGGAGAGCUCCCCCUGAGCAGGACAGCAGCACAGAGGGCAGGCAGCCAAGCCAAGAGGCUGGGAGGGCCGAUCCCUGCUGAUGGCGUCGAGCACCCAGAACCCACAGGACAGACUCCUGCCGGCAGUGCCCUGCUGUUUCGCCUCCUGACCCCCGGGUCUUCCCGGGUGGCCCUGCGUGGCCCUGCGAGCUCCGCCUCGGAGAACUGCAAGUAAUCAACUAUCUUCUCAAUGGCAUCGUCUCCGGGUCCGCUGGCCUUACUGAACCGCACAUGUUCCCUUGUCACAUUCUCUGUGAAACCUGCCCUCCCAGACCCUUUGCAGACGCUUAGCCUGAACAGAGGAAGAGCAAAGGAAGUGUGCGCCCUGUCACAGCAUCUUCGACAAGGUGAACCUGGAAUAGACACUGGAGUUCCUUUCCCCAUCAAACGGGAGGCUCCAGAAGAGUGGAGGGCACAUCAGGCAUUCCACGGACAAGACCAGAGCCCCGGGACGUCCCGAACGUCUGUCUUCCCAGGCGGCGGGCUCGGGGCCAGGGCUUGACCGAGUCCCAGGCUCUGCCCGCCCACUGAGCCUGGAGUUUGAGCCCACUGUGCACCUGAAGCCAGAAGCAUCUUCUCCAGCGGAGGCCGAGCACGUCGCUCCCUGCUCCUGCUCCCCUGCUCCUUAGAAACUGACCCAGGGCCCUUGCUGUGGAACUGAGCUUAGCCUAACGAGGCAGCUCAGAGGCAGCCGCCGGCCAGCCAGCCAGCGCCCAAGCUCACAGAAGAGACAGAGAAAGCCUCAUCAGCAGAGCGUUCCGUCAUCGCAGCUGACUGCUCUCCAGGCCUGAGCUGGGGGAUAUCGAAGUUCAGAGACGCAGAGCACAAUGCACCCAGCGGAAGUGGUCCCAGAAACAAGGGGUGCUGGUCCACGUCCCCCCAAGCCUCGCGCCUGCCUCUGUCUUGUACGUGCCCACCACCGCAGCCUCCUUCUGUCUGGGACGCCUCCUCCGAUUGCUGCGGUCAGAGCCUGCAGCCCUCCCCACUAGAUGCCACCUCCCUUUAGACUGCCAGCAGGGGGUGAGCGUGUGUGCUGAGCUGGGCACGUCCUGCCUCUGUCCCCGGCACAGGGGACUGUCCUCCUGUUGGGUCCCCGCCUUCUCUUCCCAGCUGGGCUGUGCUCUUCCAGCAGGAUCCAUGCCUGAUUCCCCUCGGGGAGCCCGGGAGUCUGGCCAAGCGCCCAGCAUGUGGGCUUCACCGAGGGGGAGCCUCACGGGCAGAGGAUUUGUGGAAAACCGAACCAGUCAGUAUGCCAGGAGAGCAGCGCCGGAGGACCACACGCUGGGCUGUUUGGCGUAAGGAAAACCACAGCGGGGGACCCGAACGGGGAGCAACAAGCCUCCCAGCAUGUCCGCAGCCCUCCUCUUCCUGGCCCUGGCCCUGCACUCCGUGGGCGCAGGGAAAUCUCUGCCCACUCUCGUGCUGGGACCGUCCCGAGCCGUCUCGUGAGCACGUGGAAAGACUGCACACAGUGCCACCGGCCUCGCGAGCAGCAGCCAGCGGCCUCCUGGCCAUCCUCAGGCUUCUGAGGAGCCCCUGCGGAAGCUCC